GGCUGCGAUGGCGGCGAUGGCGGCCGGCACGGGCAAGCCCCGCCGGCGCCGCGCAGGAAAUAAGCGUUCAGCUGCUCCAAAGAAUGAAGAUGCUGCUCAGAGGAAAGCGGCUCUGGAAGCUGCUUUGAGAAAGAAGAUUGAAUUUGAGAAAAAGGCGUUGUCUAUUGUUGAACAGCUCCUGGAGGAGAACAUUACUGAAGAGUUCCUUCUAAAUUCUGGAAAGUGUAUUACUCCAUCUCACUAUAAAGACGUUGUUGAUGAACGGUCUAUCAUCAAACUGUGUGGUUAUCCUCUAUGUCAAAAUAAACUGGAAAAUGUGCCAAAGCAGAAGUACAAGAUUUCAACAAAAACUAACAGAGUUUAUGAUAUCACUGAAAGAAAGUGCUUUUGCAGCAACUUUUGCUAUAGAGCAUCCAAAUAUUUCGAAGCUCAAAUUUCUAAAAGUCCAGUAUGGAUGAGAGAAGAAGACAAACCACCAGACAUAGAGCUGCUGAAGGAGGGACAGAGUGGACGGUCUGGAGAAGAGGUGAAACUACGGGAUGAAGUAAUUAAAGCGUCUGACAUUGAAAAUCCUGGGAUACCUUCAGAGCCAUGUGAAGCUGGUUCUCACGGCACAGCCAGUGACAGCAGCAGCGAUAAUGAGCAAGAAUUUAUUUCAUCUGUCCUACCAGGAAGUCAGUCAAGUUCAGCCAAUUUUGCACAGCAAUUGCCCAGAAAAGGCAUCCUCAAAAAAAAGCAUGCUCAGAAAGUCUCUCCCAGCCCUAAAACUGAAGAUUCAGAUGUGGUAGAAGCCACUGAACAACUCUCUCGUUGUAAAUUAGACGCUCAGGAAGAAGUGCAUGCUUGCUCUGUUCAUAAUGAAGUAACUGCAUCACCUUCAAAAAAUACUACUCUAGGGAAAUCAGGUGCUUCAGAAGUCUGUGAAAAUACCUAUGGUUCACAAAUAGUUUUUCUAGGUGUGAGCAAAAGAGGGGCAGAACAUCUUAGAAGAACACUAGCUAACUCAACAGAAUAUAGAAAACAUGAACUGAGGAAUCCAGUUAAUCCCAAAGGCAGUUUACUGGAAGUGCUUAGGCACACGCUUACGGAAUGGAGAACUGAGGAAACUUUAAAAUUUCUCUAUGGCCCAAACUAUACUUCUUUGUGCUCAUCAGAGUGCGUAGCACCUGCCAGCCAGGAGACUGAAGAACUUGAUGAGGAUGACUUAGAUACAGCUGAUGAUCUUAGCGCUGUUGCUGUAAGAGAGUCCGAAAACAGCUUGAAUUAUUCCUUACCUUUCACAGGCGCAGGUGGAGUAGUGAAGCCUGUGCCUAGUUACGAAAAGUUAAAAGAAGAAACGGAGUUCCUAGAACUCCGAGUGAAAGAGUUCUAUAAAGGGAGGUGCGUCUUGGCUGAAGAGGCAGCGACACAUGCACAGGAAGAGGAACAUCCAAGCACAGACAAAGAUGAUCAACACGAAGAUCUCACCUUCCCACUUGUUGAUUCAAAUGCACAAAUGCAGAUCAGAAAGCGAAUCGUCCUUGAAAAACUGAGAAAAGCAUUACCUGCAGUUUUGGGCCCUCUUCAGAUUGCUCCAGGUGAUGUUUACACAGAGCUGAAAAAUCUUGUCAAAACUUUCCGGUUAACAAACAGAAAUAUUAUUCACAAAAUGCCCGAGUGGACUCUAAUCGCUAUUGUUUUGUUGUCUGUAUUGUCAGAAACUACUCCACUCAAGAAUCCUCAGGCAAGCCCAAUGUACACACAGUUCCUGACCACGCUGCUGGAAGAACUGCAUUUCAAAAAUGAAGAUUUGGAAAGUUUAACAAGAAUAUUUAGAAUGGACUGACGACCUGAAUGGUCAGUCAAUUUUAAGCUACUUUGUGUGUCAUAAAACCAAGCCAGUUAAUACUGGGGUUUUAUUAUUCAGCAUUUUAAUAACAUGAUCAUCUUAACAUCUACCACCUGAAAUAGCUGCACAGAGAAUAUAAGAACACCUUCAAUUUUUGGAACUUUUUUAAAAUGAAAAAUAUAGUUUAGUAUGAAUUGUACUACUUGCACUUCUACUUUUUCAUUUCCUUUCCACGGGUGAGAAUUUUGAAGUCUUGUGGAAAAGCUGCCUUUAACAGCAGUUGUUCAGGGUAUGCACGAAGAGAAGUUACCAUGUGGAUCGUCUGACAACCGAGUGUUAAAAGCAGUAGAAAGGAAUUUGGAUUUGUUUUUUUUCUUAGCUUGGAAACUUUCAGUUUGUCUACAGGAAUUAGGGAAAGAGAGUGGCUGAGGGGAAGAAUAUUAGCCUGGAGUGUUAAGAACAGUGCUGCUGACAUUUUUCUGGUUGCCCCAGUGCAUGGAGCAGUAACUUUAAGAAUGACUGUGACAGUACACAAAGAUGUCUGAGUUAUAGCCUGUUUCUCUUGCUGCUUCUAGAAAAGGGGGGGGGAUGUCUUUGAACUUACGUAAAAGUUAUUUUUUAACAGACUCUAAUUGUUAAUAAUUUGGACUUUAAAAUAUAUUUUAAUAACUAAAAAUUUUUGGCUUUCAGUAGUUAUUUCAUUUCAAAGAGUUGUGUUGUUUAGACUGAGUGUCUUUGGGCUUGCUUCUGGCACUAACUGAUUAUAAAUUGCAAUUUAAAACUAGUCCACUAGUAAUUCUUAAUGCCUCCAUAAUAUGGUUCACUGCAUAGUUCUCAGUUCAUAGGACACUGUCCUUUGAGAGACGUGAGAAGAAAGUUGUAACUGACAGUUCUGAGUCUGCAGCAAAGGCCAGCACUGGUUACAGCUGAAGCCAGACCUACCAGGGCUGCUCCACAGCCACUCCAUUUGAAAAAGAGUUUGUUCCUUUGUUUAGUUCCUGUAAUUGGACAUCACAAGGGAACUCUACACUUAAUUAAUGUAAUGCUGUGUUGUUCCUUCAUAUGUUCAGGAUAAAUGCACAGAAACCCAUGCAGCUUUUCCCUGGAAGCGUCAUUGUGCAGUCGACUUUAUUUAGGAGAUGCUUGACUUUUCCUAACUUACCUUGUUCUGAGAAGUUAUGUUCAGUAUAUGUUGUAAAAGCAACAAUUUAGAAUGUGAAUGACCUUUAAUGCAGAGUUACAGCUAUACAUUUUUCUAAGUAUGCAACAGGAAAAAAUUACCCAUUGCGAUCAGAGCGUGUCUGAUAUAAAAUACAUGAGAGUUACUGGAUAGAAGGUACGUUGGUUUUGGGCCAUGAUGGAAAAAGUUUACUUGAUAUAUACGGAAAGAGGGGUCAAAACCUCACCAGAAGAUAAACUUCUGUAGAAGACUGAGUAAUAGGUAUGAUACUGUGAGUAGAACUUAAACCUUGGUUUUGUAUCUGUUUGCUUCUGAUUUUAGAAGUUAAAUAUAUUUCUAUUUUUAGCUAGUACUUCACUGUGGAUGAGCAAGCUGUUGUCCUGUUCCAUGCACAUUUACCUUGAGACACAAAGAUUGCCUCAGAACAGUCUUGUUAUACUGAGCAUACCUAGAAGGCAUUACAAACAUACUUAUACCAGGAAUAUGACUGUGUUAUAUUACAUGUGAUAGCUCACAUCUGGAAAAUUUUUACACUUCCUGUCAGUUUAGUGGUGUGAUUUUUUUUUUUUUUAGUUAUUUUUAGGCUUGGUCUUCAGCACCUACUGUGUAGGAAAUGUAUGAUCUUGUAAUAAGAAUGAAUAGGUUGCAUGCUCAAAGACCUCUUUCUCAGAGUUCAGUGUAGCUGCUUUUACUGUCUGCCUCAACAGCUCAAAAAAAUA